GGACAGCCAGAUCUGGUGUGGGCUAGGAGCCUCUGGCGCUCUGAGGCGCCCUUGGCCGACAGGCUUGCCGGGACCGUGCUCCCGCCCACUGGAUCAAGAUGGAGGAGGAACACAAAAAAGGGCGACCGCUGGCGUUUCAGAUCCAGGGAGAUUUCUAGCAGUCCUUCACCCUUUUGGCAGAUGCUUUACGAAAGAAAAAUUGCCAACCUUUGCUCUAAAGCAUAAUUGAGGAAAAAUAAAGGAAAAAUGGAACAGGUGAACCUAAGAAACCAACAAAGCAGAAGGAAGAACAAAGCAUUAAACUAGUAAAACAACACACCCUCCAUCAAAAUCAGAAAAUGCUCCACACCUAUAGCACCAAUUCUUCCAAUCAAGAUUGAUCAUGGCAUGCCUUCCUGCUAAGUCUCAACAUGGCCUUUCAAUUAGUCUAGUGCUCCAAGUAUCAAUCAAUGGGAAGUGACACUUGAAACCAAUUUUCUAUCCGGAACCUCUUCUUUAGAGGAUGUAACCAAGCUUCAUAUGCUGAAACUAUUUUUCUGGAAAAAGAAGUAAAUUUGAAGAAUUCAAAGGUUUUGUAGGGUGCUUAUCCUUAAGUUAGAAGUCAUUCCUGGUCUCUGCUUUUCUGAACUGGACUCAGCAGCCCUCCAAGUACAAUUUUUAGAGACCAACUGGAAAGAGAAAGAACUGAAAGCUUCUAAGAAACAUCUGUCUUCAGAGGAAGGAGAGAGGAACUCCUGUCAGAGGCUUCUAUUCACCAAAAACCUCUCUGUUCUUGAUCAAUACCUGUUUGAUGCUGAUGCCAUUUAUCAUCAGGCGUAGUUUGAGUCUUCCUGCCUUCUGUUGUUUGGUGUUUAUUUUACCUGAGGACUGGAUUUAUUCUUAAUCAUUUCCCCUUUGGAAAUAUUGCUUAGAAAGCAAAAGGAACAUCUUGAUUCAAAUGGAAUUUAAUCUUCUGAGUUCUUCCCAGGCAAUACCUCCUCAUUACAGCUUGUUUCAUGCAGACUCUGGGAUGGCAGGUUGAACAAGUCAAAAGAGGUGGGUAGGCAUCUAAAAGGUAAAUGAUCCAAUUAUAACUGGUUUAUCCCAGAUAGCUCAAAGCCUUGGGAACAGAGACAAACUAGUCUAGUGGCACUUGCCUUGCUUCAGGAGAUCAACCAUGAGGAACAAAAUUGUCAAGGGAAAAAUAAAAGUUUUAGAAACAACAUUUUAAGUCAAUCAGGGAAAAAUAGCAAAUAAACAAAUGAUACAGUAAUGAUUUAAUCAACUUUGGCUCCUCCGCUCGGGCUAUUAAAUAAAACAUAUACUGGACCUGAGGUAAUCAGGCAUCCAUGGAAGCAGUGAAAUUUUCUUUGUCCCAUCCAUUCUGUUUUUCAUGAGAGUAUAUGUUAACAGGGUCAAACCUAGGUUAUAUCCUUUGGCUGAAUGAGUAUACCUGGGUUUUUGUUAGGAAGGUGAGGAUGGAAAAUUCUAAUAGAUUUGAGAGGAGGCUCAAUAUAAAGGCAGGAAGAGGAUUUUUCACUUCCUUUUGAGGAAGAUUAGCCUGGGGCUAACAUCUGUGCCCACCUUCUUCUAUUUUAUAUGUGGGACGCCUGCUGCAGCACGGCUUGAUAAGCAGUGUGUAGGUCUGUGCCCAGGGUCCCAACUGGCAAACCCCGGCCACUGAAGAGGAGCGCACGAACUUAACUGCUUAGCAGGCCACCUGGCAGGCCACCAGGAAGAGGACUUUUGAAUGGAAAUAUACAAAUUCUGUCUUUAACCAGUGUUUUCAAUUUCACUUUCUUAAGCCAACUAAGGACCUGCAAAAUGCUAUUUUCCACUUACUUUAGCAAAUGUCAGUCUAAGAUUUGGUGAAGUUAAAUGUGUAUUCUCACAAGGUAACUAGCUGAACUGAAAGUGACACCAACCUACCGAUCAAAUGAGAGACACUAGGAACAAUAAUAUAAUCAAAAUAUCUUCAGGGACUCAUUCCCUUUAGGCAAAGCUCAGAAUAUUCAUAAAUUGCAUGUCAGACAGAACCUGAAGAGUAGGAAGCCAUAAGUCACCAUUAAACAAAGGAGAGAGAAAUUGAAAUGUAGUUUAGAUUAUAAGGCAAAUGGAAGAGAAAGCCAAGGAUAGGACGCAACUCUCCCCUCUCCCUUUCUAGAGUCCAUUUCUCUUGAUGUCUUGGGCUCAAGGAGUUUGGAAAAACUAAGUGCUGCUUCUUUGGUGGAAAGUAAACUAAACAAGUUAAUUGCUGUAUUUUUGUUACUUGGUAGAAAAUAAAACAUUUAUCUCAUGCUUAUUUUCCUCUAUUUAUUUGUACAGUCCGUACAAUCGAGGUGUGCCUGAGUUCAAGAGAUAAUGAAUUUAUUAGUU